GGAGUAGAACGCUAGCGGCGAGGCCUAACUAACAUGCAAGUCGAGGGGCGAGCAGGGAGUAGCAAUAAUUCGCUGGCGACCGGCGCACGGGUGCGUAACACGUAUACAAUCUGCCUUUAACAGGGGGAGUAGCCCGGAGAAAUCCGGAUUAAUACCCCAUAAUAUUUGACUGGCAUCAGUUGAAAUUGAAAGCUCCGGCGGUUAAAGAUGAGUAUGCGUCUGAUUAGCAGUUGGUGAGGUAACGGCUCACCAAGGCGACGAUCAGUAGGGGAUCUGAGAGGACUUAACCCCCACACGGAUACUGAGACACGGAU
rnacentral:rRNA from 1 species